GCCAACGCGGCAUAGUGGUUUGUGCAUUGGACUACAAGUCUGGAGACCUGGGUUCGAAUUCCCGCUCAGCCA